GAACGCACCUUGCGCUCCUUGGUAUUCCGAGGAGCAUGCCUGUUUGAGUGUCAUGAAAUUCUCAACCUUUUCAGCUUUUUCUGUUGAUCAGGCUUGGAUGUGGGAGUAUGCGGGCUUCUCAUCUCAGAGGUCGGCUCUCCUGAAAUGCAUUAGCGGGACCUUUGUUGCCUGGCUUUGGUGUGAUAAAUUAUUUAUGCCAUCGUGAAGAGCAGCUUUAUAAAAUGGGGUUCAGCUUCUAAAUGGGUCUCCUUUGAGACCAACUUCUGACAAUUUGACCUCAAAUCAGGUAGGACUACCCGCUGAACUUAA
rnacentral:misc_RNA from 1 species